AGUUGGAGGGAGAAAACAUGUUAUGCAUCCUCAAGGCCUUUAUGCCAAGAAGCCCUGUUCAGAGUGUCAGCUGCUGGAAGAAGCCAUAAUUGCAGCAAGACCCAUUGGACCAUCGGUCACUAGCCAAGUUCAAGCCAUGGUUCUGGAAAUAUUUUCAAAGUUUCUGAACAGGUACCAGGACAAGGCUGUCCACUUCCUGCAGCAGAACGCCACUGCGGGGGCCUUCCCCGAGGUGCACCUGCUGGGAAACUGCUGCAUCCUCAGGAAAACGUGGCAGGAGCUGAGUCAGGCAUGCUUUCCACCUGCAGACCUGGUGACCGCGGUACAGGGUGCCAUCCACGCCAUUGAGGGCCACAGUCAGGACCACCUCCUGCUUAGAGUCAGAGCCCUGUGCCAGAAUCUGCUGAGGGGCCACUUCGGAAGGAAGGAGAGGGAUCUGGUCAAGGCUCUGCAGUCCCUGUGGCAGGGCCUGGAGGGCUGUCCCAGCCUGCACUCCACUCCCGUGUAUGAGAGCAUCAUGCAAAGUUUGCACAUGGUGGUCUUUGGGGAGUACGUCCAGGCCCUGGCCACCCACCUCAGGAUGCUGGCGCCCAGGAAGUGGGGGAGCCUGAGGACUCAGGUGGAGACGGACAUCUGGAAGUUGGACAACAUCUUCAGGAAGCACGGGGGUCCCGGCUUGGCCAUCCCAGAGGAACCCAUCCUGGGGAUCUUCCAGCUCAGUGAGAACAAGGGCAGGGAGACUGUGGAUGAUUGGCUGGCCUCCUUCAGGGACAGAUUCCCAGGUUAUCUGAGCAUGCAGGACCAGCCAUGCAGCUCUGUGGACUUGGAGGUUGAGGUCAAGGGAAGAUCCUGCUGCUGCUGCUGAUCCCCCAGCUCUGCACCAGGGUCUGGCAGAACCCUGACUGCCCUGAACAGAGGUGGAAGUGAGCAGUAGCUUCAGGGAACCUCGGGCUGUGGAAGUUGUGUGACUCCAGCAGCUACCUAAGGCAAAGGAUCUGGGUGCCCCUGAUCCCAGUGCCCACCCAGUGGCCACUUCAUAAAUGACAGCCUGAUAUUCAGGAGGAAGCCAAUCCUUCCGAAGUCUGGACUCUUCUAUCAGAAGGAAUGCCUGGGGCAUUUACCCUGGAACCCAGCCACCAAGCUAUAAGGUAGGCCAGGCCUUGUGGGAGGCCACGUGCAGGUGUCCCAGCCAGCGACUCUACUGAGGACCCAGCCAGGGCUAUGGACGUGAACCCCAGAUGUUUGAGUGAGGAGAGCUUCAAGAUUCCUACAGCCCCAGCUGCUGUCUGAUGUAUUAUCAGAAUUAACUUGUGUCUGCACACCUGGACACUUGCCUGGUGUGGAGACCCCCACACCUGGUGUCAGAAGAGCAGUCGCAGGAAAUGUCUUGGGUGGACGUUCAGGUACCGCUGCCUCCGGGCUACGCAAAUAAAUCGCAGCCGACAGGCCUCUGGUUAACUCUA
rnacentral:lncRNA from 1 species